UUGAACGCUGGCGGCAGGCCUAACACAUGCAAGUCGAGCGGUAGCACAGAGAGCUUGCUCUCGGGUGACGAGCGGCGGACGGGUGAGUAAUGUCUGGGAAACUGCCUGAUGGAGGGGGAUAACUACUGGAAACGGUAGCUAAUACCGCAUAACGUCGCAAGACCAAAGUGGGGGACCUUCGGGCCUCAUGCCAUCAGAUGUGCCCAGAUGGGAUUAGCUAGUAGGUGGGGUAACGGCUCACCUAGGCGACGAUCCCUAGCUGGUCUGAGAGGAUGACCAGCCACACUGGAACUGAGACACGGUCCAGACUCCUACGGGAGGCAGCAGUGGGGAAUAUUGCACAAUGGGCGCAAGCCUGAUGCAGCCAUGCCGCGUGUGUGAAGAAGGCCUUCGGGUUGUAAAGCACUUUCAGCGGGGAGGAAGGCGAUAAGGUUAAUAACCUUGUCGAUUGACGUUACCCGCAGAAGAAGCACCGGCUAACUCCGUGCCAGCAGCCGCGGUAAUACGGAGGGUGCAAGCGUUAAUCGGAAUUACUGGGCGUAAAGCGCACGCAGGCGGUCUGUCAAGUCGGAUGUGAAAUCCCCGGGCUUAACCUGGGAACUGCAUUCGAAACUGGCAGGCUAGAGUCUUGUAGAGGGGGGUAGAAUUCCAGGUGUAGCGGUGAAAUGCGUAGAGAUCUGGAGGAAUACCGGUGGCGAAGGCGGCCCCCUGGACAAAGACUGACGCUCAGGUGCGAAAGCGUGGGGAGCAAACAGGAUUAGAUACCCUGGUAGUCCACGCCGUAAACGAUGUCGAUUUGGAGGUUGUGCCCUUGAGGCGUGGCUUCCGGAGCUAACGCGUUAAAUCGACCGCCUGGGGAGUACGGCCGCAAGGUUAAAACUCAAAUGAAUUGACGGGGGCCCGCACAAGCGGUGGAGCAUGUGGUUUAAUUCGAUGCAACGCGAAGAACCUUACCUGGUCUUGACAUCCACAGAACUUUCCAGAGAUGGAUUGGUGCCUUCGGGAACUGUGAGACAGGUGCUGCAUGGCUGUCGUCAGCUCGUGUUGUGAAAUGUUGGGUUAAGUCCCGCAACGAGCGCAACCCUUAUCCUUUGUUGCCAGCGGUUCGGCCGGGAACUCAAAGGAGACUGCCAGUGAUAAACUGGAGGAAGGUGGGGAUAACGUCAAGUCAUCAUGGCCCUUACGACCAGGGCUACACACGUGCUACAAUGGCAUAUACAAAGAGAAGCGACCUCGCGAGAGCAAGCGGACCUCAUAAAGUAUGUCGUAGUCCGGAUUGGAGUCUGCAACUCGACUCCAUGAAGUCGGAAUCGCUAGUAAUCGUAGAUCAGAAUGCUACGGUGAAUACGUUCCCGGGCCUUGUACACACCGCCCGUCACACCAUGGGAGUGGGUUGCAAAAGAAGUAGGUAGCUUAACCUUCGGGAGGGCGCUUACCACUUUGUGAUUCAUGACUGGGGUG
rnacentral:rRNA from 1 species